UACGUAGGGGGCAAGCGUUGUCCGGAAUCAUUGGGCGUAAAGCGCGCGUAGGCGGCCCGGUAAGUCUGCUGUGAAAGUCAGGGGCUCAACCCUUGAAAGCCAGUGGAUACUGUCGGGCUAGAGUCCGGAAGAGGCGAGUGGAAUUCCUGGUGUAGCGGUGGAAUGCGCAGAUAUCAGGAGGAACACCAAUUGCGAAGGCAGCUCGCUGGGACGGUACUGACGCUGAGGUGCGAAAGCGUGGGGAGCAAACAGG
rnacentral:rRNA from 1 species